CGCGAGAGGACAGAGGAGGCGGGGCCGCGCGCCUCCGUAGCCCGCGGGCGGAAGCGAGAGAGAAUGAGGAGGCAAGAGGGGAGCCGCGGCCGCGGGGAGGCUCGGGACGAGUGGGUUUGUUCCGGUUGUCCUUCCGCUGCAGACGUCCGGGGCCCAGGCCCGAAGCCGAGGGGGAAGGUACCCACACUGCACCAAAAGAUACCUGAGAGACCCAUGCAUCUGUACAUCUGAAGGUAGAUGGACUGGCUCCCUGGGAAGUGGUGGAGAUAGAGGCUGUAACUAGGUCAUGCCUGUCCAGCCACGAGCCACAAUGGCCAGCCUCCUUUGCAGCUAAGUGUUUGCUUCAUGUGGCUCAGCUCUGGUUCGUGGAGUGCAGCAGAAGGGCACUUCUGAACCGCCUUUCCAGAGGACAGUGUGACGCUCCUUUCCCCAUCCUUGUGGCCAGGAUGCUGACAAGCAGAGUAACCUUGGCAGCCACAUGUUGCAGAUGGCACAGACUGUGUCUGGGCCGGAUCCCUGAAUGACUUCAUGGAGCAGAGCCUCUACUCCUCCAGGCCAGAACACCCCCUGAGCCAUUUCGUUAGAGAGAAAUAAGCUUUUAGUGACUGUCUUUUAAGGUCUAUAUAUUAAAACAAGUGAGCCUACCCUAACUAAUUAGUUAGUUCUUCAAAAUUUAGAUACUUAAUUUUUUACCCAGGGUCUAGUCUUGGUGUUAUUUACUUCUAUAUUUGUUUGGUAAUUUAUCAACUUUUUGUUCUGCAAAAUUUCAGACAUACAAAAGUAGAGGAAAUGAUAUAAUGAAGUCUUAUGUACCUAUGACUAAACCUCAACAUUUGUGUUAUAAGGCCUUUCCUAUUUCCUACGUGUAUGCCAUUUCCUACAUAUUUAUGGCCAUACCUCUGUCAUCGGUACCCUCUUUCCUCUCUGCCCCGUUCUGGAUUAUUUUAAAGCAAAUUUCAGAAUCUCAAACAUCAUUCAUUUCAUUGGAGACUUUUAAAUGCCACAAGAAACCUCCUCCAACCUCCCUGGAACUCAAGUGUUAUUGUGAAACUGUGGCUAUGAAAACGGGCCGUUCCCAUUGUGUUACAACGUAUGAUGAAGACAAUGCAAGCUGAAAGGUUAGGCUCACCUGCCGGUGCGAGAGGCACACCCUAUCCCCAGAACAUACCAGAAUCUACCUUCACCCCAUUCAAGGUGGAAGCUUGGAGCUUAUAAAGGAGACCUGGCAGUACCAGGCAGUCUGAGAAUAUGGGGCGACCAGCAGUGGGUCAAGAAUUGAAGCCAGAUAACUUGGGUUCUAAAUAUCUAAACUUCGCUCAGCUACUUACUAGUUGUAUGCUCUGCAACCAUUCACUUAAUUAUUCAGAUCCUCAGGUUUUCUCAUUUAUAAGAUGGAAAUAAUACCUAUUCCAUCACUGGAUCUGUAUGUUAAAAUUAGCUAAGAUUUUUAAAAUUAUGAACUUUAUAUGAUGAUCAGUUUAUAACUUGGAAGUAAAUAUAAGCUAAGAUUUUAAUUCUUAUUUAAUGUUUUCCUCUAGAGUAGCAUUUAUAGUCUACAGGAAUCUAUUAAAAUCAGUGUUAUUGGUGGCAGUGAUUAUUUUUUCUAAUGAGUUUUUGGAUCUAAAUCAGCAGCACCAUCCAUGAAAGGGAAAAUGAUGCUGCAGUUUGCUUAUUUCAAACGUCUUUAAUCUGAGAAAAGUGGACAGUACCAUAGUGAGCUCCUGCAGGGCCAAAGAGCGAAUAGACUCUUAACUCAAGUUUUCCCUCAGGAGGUUAGCUUCUCUCCCCCUUCACCAGCAUCCAGUUUGACCCAGCCAGUUCUGCAUAAGCUGGGAUAUGGAGAUUUCCAGAUCUUAAUGACUUCCCUCAUACAUCAAAAUGUCUCUUUCUGCAUUACUGAGCUCAGUUCCAACUGGGUCACAGCGUUGAGCAAGGUAGACUUAAAAAGGAUGUACAAUAAUUCAUGUGAAAUGUAAGCAAGACAUUUUCCUCCUCCCCUGCUGGAUCUGCAUGCAAUGUUUCCCCUUCUGGUUUCUGUUUUUUAGGUACAUUAUAAGUACCUGGUAAGUUAGAACCUUUUAACUUUUUAACUUUCAAUUUUAGAAUAGUUUUAGAUUUACAAGAAAGUUGCAAAGAUAGUGCAGAGUUCCCGUCUGCCCCUCACCUGGUUUCCCCUACUGUUAGCAUCUUACAUUGCCAGGCUACAUUUGUCACGCCUAAGAAACCAACACUGGUAUGUUGCUAUUAACUAAACUCCAGACAUUAUUCUGAUUUCACUAGUUUUUCCACUAAUGUCCUUUGUCUGCUCCAGGGUCCCAUCCAGGACACCACAUUACAUUUAGUUAUUGUGUCUCCUUAGCCUCCUCUGAUUUGUGACAACUUUUUAGCCUUUCCUCAUUUUUAAGGACCUUGACAGCUUUAAGGAGUACUGGUCAGGUAUUUUAUACGAUGCUUCUCAAUUUGAUUUUUUUCUCUAGUUAGAUUGGGGUUAUGGGAUGGAGAGGCUGACCACAGAGUUGAGGUCACCUUCUCAUCACACCGUGUGUCAGGGAGGUGUGCUGUCAAUAUGACAUCACUGGUUCUGUUGACCUUGAUCACCUAGCCUAGGGAGGGUUUCCAGGUUUCUUCACUGUGAAGUAACUUACCCCUUUCCCAUGCUCUAUUCUUUAGAAGCGAUGACUGAGCUCAGCCCAUAAUCAAGGAGGCAAGAGGGAUAAAGCUCCCAAAACAAACCUGGAAGAAUUUGAGAGCAAAAAUAAUGCAAUAUGAAAUUAUAACCCAAAGUAUAAAAUAAAUGUCCAGGACUCCAUACUCAUAUAAAUAAAUGACUAAAAAAAUGAACAAAGGAGAAGAGACAAAUCUUCCUUCUAUUAGAAUUCCAAAUUAAAGCAUUUUGUUACACAGCCUAUUCUGUUUUUACUUUAAAAGUACUAAUAGACUUUAUUGUUAAGAGCAGUUUUAGGUUUGCAGAAAAAGGGAACAGAAAAUACAGAAAGAUCCUACAUAUGACUCCCACCCCCGUUUCCCUUAUUGUUAACAUAUUGCAUCAGUGGUUAACUUUUGAACUUUCAGCUGUCUUAGAAAUGAAAAAUGGAACAGUGCUGUGUGGUAAGAGUCUUUGGACUCUCAGUGAAUAACAGUACUUUCCUAUGAAUGGAAAUAGGCAUCUUGGAAUAUGAAGACAGAUACCACGAGACUCCAAACUCUGUUAUACCAACAGGGGCUGGAUCAUUUAAAAUUUUCUUUUCUGGGAGCUAGCCCCGUGGCCGAGUGGUUAAGUUCGCGUGCUCUGCUUCAGUGGCCCAGGGUUUCUCUGGUUCGGAUCCUGGGUGCGGACAUGG